AUUGAACGCUGGCGGCAUGCCUAACACAUGCAAGUCGAGCGGAGCAGCGAAAGGGUGAGUACUACCUAGGAAUCUGCCUGGGAGUGGGGGAUAACGUUCGGAAACGGACGCUAAUACCGCAUACUAUCAGAUGAGCCUAUGUCGGAUUAGCUAGUUGGUGAGGUAAUGGAUCACCAAGGCUAAGAUCCGGAACUGGUCGGAGAGGAGGAUCAGUCACACUGGAACGGAGACACGGUCCAGACUCCUACGGGAGGCAGCAGUGGGGAAUAUUGGACAAUGGGCGAAAGCCUGAUCCAGCCAUGCCGCGUGUGUGAAGAAGGUCUUCGGAUUGUAAAGCACUUUCAGUUGGGAGGCGUUACCGACAGAAUAAGCACCGGCUAACUCUGUGCCAGCAGCCGCGGUAAUUC
rnacentral:rRNA from 1 species